rnacentral:rRNA from 1 species
UUUCGCAAUGCCCGAAAGGGUGACGAAGCGACGCCGCGUGCGGGAGGAAGGCCUUCGGGUUGUAAACCGCUGUCGGGAGUUAAGAAAUGCAAGGAUGUUAAUAGCGUUCUUGCUUGACUAAGGCUCCGGAGGAAGCCACGGCUAACUCUGUGCCAGCAGCCGCGGUAAUACAGAGGCGGCAAGCGUUGUUCGGAAUUAUUGGGCGUGAAGAGCACGUAGGCGGCUGUGUAAGUCGGUUGUGAAAGCCUUCCGCUCAACGGAAGAACGGCAUCCGAUACUGCAUGGCUUGAGUGUGGGAGGGGAGAGUGGAACUUCUGGUGGAGCGGUGAAAUGCGUAGAUAUCAGAAGGAACACCGGCGGCGAAGGCGACUCCCUGGUCCAUAACUGACGCUGAGUGUGCGAAAGCUAGGGGAGCAAACGGGAUUAGAUACCCCGGUAGUCCUAGCCGUAAACGAUGGGCACUAAGUAGAGGGGUUUU